ACUCAGGUGAGUAAUGUGCUUCAUCAUUUCAGUUUCAAGUAGUAACUUCAUUGGAAGGGUUUCCCUGGCAUCUAAACUAUUACAAGGAUUUAGAUAUAUUUUUUUAAGGUAAAGCAAAAUUCCAUUAUGUCUUCAACCCUUAUAAACCUUCAUUGUUACACAGUCUUAAACACAUGAAGCCAAGGUCAUUUUCUCUCACAGAUACUUCACAUCUAAU
rnacentral:lncRNA from 1 species